CGGGAAUAUUGCGCAAUGGGCGAAAGCCUGACGCAGCCAUGCCGCGUGUGUGAAGAAGGCCCUAGGGUUGUAAAGCACUUUCAAUUGUGAGGAAAGGUUGACGAUUAAUACUCGUCAGCUGUGACGUUAACUUUAGAAGAAGCACCGGCUAACUCCGUGCCAGCAGCCGCGGUAAUACGGAGGGUGCAAGCGUUAAUCGGAAUUACUGGGCGUAAAGCGCGCGUAGGCGGUUUUUUAAGUCGGAUGUGAAAGCCCCGGGCUCAACCUGGGAACUGCAUCCGAUACUGGAAGACUAGAGUGCGGGAGAGGGAGGUAGAAUUCCAUGUGUAGCAGUGAAAUGCGUAGAUAUG
rnacentral:rRNA from 1 species